AAACUAUGAAGUUACGGUGUACAUUUAAAUGGUUCCGGUGAGGUUGAGGUGGAAUGUAACAUACCGGAUUUUAAAUGUAAAAGUGAAAAUAAAUAAAAAUAGUGUGAGAUUCUAUUUUAUUGGACUUAUAGACAUAAAAUAUAAGUCUGGAAUGACCCAUUUUGAAAUCGGAGCGAAAACAGAAUAUUUAAAAUUUUCUGUUUGAAACGGGGCAGAUAAAUUAAUAGAAAAUGCAUAGUGUCAGAAAAUUAUGAAAACUGGAGGAUAAGUCAAAAUUAUUUUUAUGAGGCUAGAUUUAAAGUUUCAUAUCAUUCUGACACCCGGAAGGUGGAAAAUAAAAUCCGACAAUUAUCUGAUAAAGAUUACAGUUCGGUAGAGCUUUCAGUGACCAAACGGGGUUGAAACUGAAAGAUUAAUAUUUCUUUCAGUAAGUUAAGUAAAACCGAGUAUGACUGCCAAAUUUGAGCUCAAACGGACGUUCAGAAGGGCAGACGAAAAAUAUCUGUACCGUGCUGCUAAACUGAAUGUGAAUAGUGUUCUUGGAUAACUUGGAGGUCAAGUUUCCUAUGAAAUUUGGAGGUCAAGUUUCCUAUAUACAUAUAUAUGUAU
rnacentral:lncRNA from 1 species